ensembl:lncRNA
CAGAAACCAAAUGAGAGGAUGAAAACAAAUACUGUUUAUGGAAAUGGCAUUCAUCACCAAGGCAGAAACUGUAUACUGCAUACUAUUCUAGAUCAUUAUUGAAGAUUACGAAAAAUUUCCGCCUUACCUAUAAAGGUUUUCACAGGGAAAGGCCACAACCAAAUCCACAAACAAGGGAUUGUCCAGAUAGUGUGUCUGUUAGGCUAUAUAUGCAUCACUCUGCUCACCUGUUUCAUAGCAUCAAGCUGUAAGCCAAAGAUUGUCAGAAUUUCAACAAUCAAGAGAGUGUCCAGGUGUCCAGAUUACGUAGUUGUGACUUGCCAUUUUUCUGAAACAAGAAAUUUAGGCUUGAACAAAAAAGUGGAAGAGUUGGCAGAGCAUUCAAAGAUAAAGAUUUAAUAAACUUGCUGGAAUAUAUAUGUUGUAAGGCAUGCCAAAAUUUAACAGUAUAACAUACAUCAAGAUAAGCUCAGCAGGUUUGUGCAGAAGGAUCCAAUGCUGCUCUGAAGAAUAAAGCAGUUACUGAGAAUAUAUGAAUACAUG